UUUGCCUGCCAACAUUCAUACUGCCUUUAAAAUAGUGAUCAGAGAGCUCAAGUUAUUAUAGAGUGUUAAAUCUCAUAUUUGUUAAAAAGUCAUAUUUUUCAUUCUGUAAUGAGACCAAACACUAACCUACCUGUGAUGGGUGUGGUGAUGCAUGUGAGAAGAUCUUGGAUGGAAAAACUCUUUUCCAAACUGUUUUUAAAUCCAUUCAGUUUGGAUUUGCAGGUCAGAAUUCCCUCAAAAGUCGAGACGCCAGCAAGAAGCCCUGUAAAACAACCACAGACAGAGGUGCCUGCCUCAUUUUACUGUGACAAUCAUGCACAUAUGCUUAAUACGUGGUUGUAUUUUUGCAGAAUCUGCUCCCUGCCCCCACGGUUCUUCCAUUAGUUUUCGAGUUGGAUCUUUCUAAAUGUUUCCAGUCAGUCCUGAUUCACGUGCAGAUGCUCUGGGAGCUCGUGUUGCUAGGAGAGCCCGUGGUUGUUAUGUCACCCUCUCCAUCCGUCUCUUCAGAGACUGUGUUGGCCAGGUCAGGCCCAAUGUGACACUUGGUGUCACAAACCCUUUAUUUAUAAAGACCUUUCAGUGCUGGCCACACAUUAUUCACCUCGGAGACCUGAAGAUGUCUGGUAAAUUAUGCUCCAUUUUAGCAGCAAGGCUCAUCUGACAGCCAUUUUUUUAAACAUGAUUUUGGCAUAUUGCACAAAAGAGGAAUGGAGUUUCUUUCCAGGUGAUUUACCAAAGCAAGGUCAAGAAACUGGCUAAAAACACUGGACACUAAAACAGACCCCUCCUCAGAUGCGGUCUUUCAGUGAGGAUGAGUUCAUGAAGACCCUGGAGCAAGCAGGUCCACCCACAACUAACUCUGAAAGGAGUUUGGACAGGUCUGUACAGGUAACAUGCCAGGGCUGCGUUUCCCAAAAGCAUCAUAAACCCAUUGGCAUCAAUAAUCUGUACAAUCUUAUCUAGGCUUAUGCUCCUUUGAUGAGAAACAGCCCAGGAUAUGGGGGAACUAAAAACUUCCUGUUAAUUGUGCUUAUAAUCAAUGUUUAUAUAUGGCGUUCAGGCGUUUCUUCCAAACUUUGAUGGCUGGUAUCUGCUCAGGCACAGAGAGAUGACUCAGAAAGUGGAAUGUCUUCAUUUAGAGGCGAUCUGCGCGGCUGUGAGUAUGAUUUUGGAUCUAGAUUUGGUCAUUGCUUAUAAAACUAUACUUCAUAAAUCUUUAAUUUUAUUUUCAUUUCAGAGUGAAUGUUUAAAGGAUUCAUUCACCCAGAAAUUAUACGCUCUCAAGUCGUUUCAAACCCAUAUGAUUUCUUCUGUUUAACACAAGAAGAUAAAUUAUUUGAGAAAUUGAACUGGGCCCAGCAGUCUUUAGAAAUCAGCACAGCUCAGUACAAGUCAAACUAUGGUAUGUUGACAAUAUUGUGGCUCAACAAUGAUUUUAUGUUAUGGACAUUUUAAGACUUAUAAUAAAAUAUGUUCGCAAUGGAUACAGGCCUAUGAAGCUGACUUCAUUUGGUAUCAAAACUAAUAUGGUGGUAAUUAGCCUAGGCUAUUUUGUAAUGUCAUUAAAGAGUUUACAUUGGCAAUCAACUUCUGGCAAACAAUUUGGCUCUAAACGGCUUAGAUCUAUAAAUGGGUAAGCAUGGUGGUGUCCAGUAAGCGACCAACUAUGGCAGCGAUCCAACGUGUCCUUGUAUUGAAUAAAAAGACGGCGCCGGCCGAGGAGCCAUAUUCUGUAUCUCUCUCUCUGUGUUCAUUGUAGAUAGGUUGCUUUUUAUUGAAAACAUUAACCAAUGGCAAUCAAAACCACAUUAAACAGAAGUAACUGCAGCUGAUUGGCAAU